rnacentral:rRNA from 1 species
UACGUAGGGUGCAAGCGUUGUCCGGAAUUAUUGGGCGUAAAGAGCUUGUAGGCGGUUUGUCGCGUCUGCUGUGAAAUCCGGAGGCUCAACCUCCGGCCUGCAGUGGGUACGGGCAGACUAGAGUGCGGUAGGGGAGAUUGGAAUUCCUGGUGUAGCGGUGGAAUGCGCAGAUAUCAGGAGGAACACCGGUGGCGAAGGCGGUGGGCUGGGCCGGAACUGACGCUGAGGAGCGAAAGCGUGGGGAGCGAACAGG